GCGCCGUCCCGCCGCGCGCACGGGCGCGCGCGGUCGCCUGCGCUUCCCCAGGCGUGUGGGCACGCACAUACCUGCACGCACGCACGCACGCACGCACCCCGCGCGAGCCCGCGUGCAGGGCGGCGCGGUGCCGCGGUGAGGAGGGGUGCGAGUCCCUCCCGCUCGCGGGGGGGCUGCGGUGCCGGGCCGGGGCCCGCCCCCACCCCACCGCGGGGCGCGACCCCGAGGCAGCGACACGGGGACCGCGGCAAAGGGGUCGUCGGUCCCAGCGUCCCGGCGUGCCGUGCCUGACGCGGGGUGGGGGCCGGCUGCCGCCCAUCCCCGUGGGCUCGCGGCCCGCCCCGGGGCGACAGGGGGAAUAUUCCGGAGGUGGGUCUGGCCGUUUUUCACGAGGGACGUUUGGCUGGAAGAGACGGUGCUAACAACGUGUCCUCGAAGUCGGCAUUGACACCCACCGCGUUUCGGACGGGGCACGAGCCCGCUCGGCCUCGAACGGGGGGGUCAGCGGGAAGAUGGGAGUUUUCCGACGUCCGAACCCAUCCCUGCGCAUGCGAGUGGGUGCAGCUGGAAGAGCCUGAAGAAACACUGGAUUUCGUCAUUCGCGAAAGGAUACCUUCCACUUCAGAAAUGUCAACGUGUUUUGUUUCAACACCUUCUUAGGGUGUUUUGAUGUUUUCAACUUUUUGUUUUAAAAUAACUUUUAAAAAAAAAUUUUAAAAGCAGUCUACUAUUUUCUCAUUUGUUAUUUCUUUUUCUUAAAUACUCACCAAAACAAAAUGUUGACAGUAUAAUGGCUUUACCAAAAUGCCUGAUCUGCAGUAAAAUAAUUAGAUUACCUUGUACAAAUGUUUUGCUCUGUCCCCGAAUGAGAUCUUUUCUGCUUUGAUUUUACUGGAAAAACCUCGAACGCUUUUACACUCUUUUUAAAUUUUUAUUUUUUACUCCACCUCUGGUAUUUCAUUAACUUACUGAGCUGAAAAAAGCCAUUUUUCACACCGGGCGGGUAGUACCUGCACUUGGGAUUUGCUGUGUUUUACCCAAUCUUGGCCACCUCCUCCAUCCAGGGAGCUUGUGUGCCUCUCCUCUCCCUGCCUGCUUUCUGCCUCGCCCACAUCGGGCAUUACAAGGUUCAAAAUUAGGCAAAAACAUAGAGGGAAACGUGUUUUUCUUAUUUUUUUUUUUCAUUUAAAAUAAAAAGUCUUAAUUUGCUUUACUUAAAAGGCAAGCAAAUGUAUCAUUUCCUGUAAUAUAGAAUCAAUGAUGAUAAUAUAAAUAGAAGAAUAAUACGGUAAUAUAUAAGGACCACACAAAAAGUGCAACUGCCUAAAAAUAAACCAGCAUCAGACUAUC